CUGUUUUAUUUGUAUUGGAAACAGAGAAAGUAAAGUGGUCCUCCUUGAGCUUCACCUUCUCUUAAUGGAAGCAAGAUAAAAAGCUAUUUAAAGCAGACUUCUGCUCCUUCAGGAAAAGACUGUUUCAUCAGUGAACAAGCUGCUUGUUCCAGUAACACAACCUUCAUCCAGCCGAGUGUCUGAUAUUUUGUAGAAUAAGCAAACUUUCUUUGAUGUAAAAGAGUGAUGAAAGAUUCUUUCUUCUUCCAUUCCUUCUAAAGGAGGGAAAUCUCAAAACUGGAAGGAGAAUGGAAAAGAGAAAGGAAAAGAAAUGAAGAUACACAUAAGAGCAAGAAAAAUGGAGACAGGCAUUCCAGGAGCUAAAGCCAUAGAGAGAUUUUUUGGAAGGAAAUAACAGGAAGAAGGAUGGAAAUAGUCACCCAAGCAAUGAUGAACAGAAUUGAAGAAUUUUUUGUUUGUUUUAAAAGAUGUUCUUAUGCAGUGAACCAUAAAACCAAGGAGUAAAGAGCUUGGUGGCAAAGACUGGAAAUAACUUUUUUUUUUUUUUUAAAUGUUGAGAUACUACAGUCAGCAGGGAGCCAGGAAUAUUUUUAAGGAUCAACGUAAAAUCAAGGGAUCUGGACAAAUCCCUCUUGGAAUGGCAAGGAACCUGAAUGGCUUUAAUCUAUAGGGUCCUAAUCUCAUAGAACUUUGUUAUUUUAACUCAUCUGUUGCCAUUCUUGAGAGAAUACACAUUCAAUAGCUGUGAAAAAAUGCCACACAUCUGUCCUAUUAUUCAUUUGCUCACUUAUUCAUUAAAUCAUUGAUUCAUUCUCAAAAUACUUGAGUACCACCUAGAAUAACCUCUUUCGGUAAUAUAAAGAUGAAUAAGACCUUUUCUCUUCCCCUAAGGAACAUAUAGACUAUUUUGGUUGGUAAGAGAUACCAAAACUGUAACUAACAACAAAGUGAAAGAUUUUGUCUCUGAGAACAUGGGAGUUUGGCUUACCUUUGGGAUUUACUCCCUUCAUGUGGCUACUACUGUCAUCAUUCUUCUCGAAUUUCUCGAAAUUCUCCUCCAGCCUAUAGCUACAUUCCUUCAGCACAGUUGCCACCUCAUGGCUUCCAUCAUUGGCUUCUCCCAGGUCUACCUUCAUUCCAACUCUUAUGGGACAAGAGCCAGAGCUCUUCCUCUCCUGAUUCAACAGGAUAUUCCCGCUAAUUGUUUUUUGCUAUAAGUUAUCAUAAUUUUAAUUAUGGUUCUAGUAGGUACAUAACUAUAAUGUAAGAUAGACAUAAGCAAUAAGAUAUAGGCAAAAAUACUCUGAAGACUCAAAAGAAUUCUGAUAGGAGAAUAAGGGAAUAAUAACUUUAUGAAAGAAAUGAUAUUUGAACUGGGCCUUGAUAAAUAAUUAGAAUUUGAAGAGAUUGUGCUAAACUCCUUGAAAACAAGAAUUAUUUCAUUUUUGAUUUUGUAUUCCUACUGUCUAGGAUAGUCCUCAAUCCAUAAAAAUCACAUAAUAUACAUUGGUUGAUUGCACCAGAAAUGCCUGGUGGAGAUAACAUGAGGAAAGUAAGGAGGUAGAGAAGCAAAUGAAACAAGAUAACUAGUCCAUUUUAGUGAGAGUAUAAGAUACAAGAAAAACUGUUGUGGGGAAAAAACUAUGUAAGUAGGUGGAUCCAAGACAAAAUCUUGAAUAUAAUGCAAAGAUGUCUUCAGGAGGCAAUGAAGAUUUACUAUAUGUUUUCUAUAAAAAAUGGGAAGGACAUGACAGAGCAGUAUUUCAGAAUUAAUUUUAUGUAGACGAAUAAAUAAAAUAUCCCAAAUGACUGAAAUGAGAAGUUUUCUAAGCACUCUGAGCUUAGAAAGUAUGAAACUAUAAGUAUGAAAUCUCACACUGAGAAGCCAAGGCCAU